AACACCAACUCCAGCAGCAGCAGCCGGCAACGGUCAGUGGUGCAGUUUUGUUUACCUGGUUUACCUGCGGAAAUGGGACAAUGUUGCCCUUCGUGACCUCUGAAGGGCGUACCAUUGCCUACCGCUGCCAUCUGAGUGAGUAGCCAGCGUGUGCGUCAUGCUGGCCAAACGGAAUCGGAAGGAUUCUCGUCUCGCUCACAAUCAAGCAAAGAUUGAGAAAUCGUGACACCAAGUAAUAUUGAGACGGCCACGGCCCCAACGGAGAGCCCAUGAGCCCGCUGCGGAAUAAGGAAAAAAUCAAGAUUCAAUAUUUUUUUGCCCUGGCAGAGUGGUGGUUAGGCGCAGGGUCGAAGAAGAAGGAGAAGUAGAAUCAGCUGAAAAAGAACCAGCCUGUGAAGGAUCACCUGAUUCAGAGGCAGAGGAGGAGCAAUGUGAGGAAAAUUUUAAUUACGGCAUGUUUAAUCUUUACAAUUUAUAUUUUGAUAGAUUUUCUGCUAUCAUCUUUAUUUUUACGCUUAACAACAGUUGAUCUCGCUUUAUUUCAUUUGGAAAAUAGGAAUUAUUAUUUUGAAAAAAUUAAUUUGCCUAUUAAUGCCACUAUCUCAUUAUUUUGUUGAAAAAUCAACGAUUGUAAGGUAAAGCAGCAUAAUCUUUGGCUCACAAUUAAUCUGUCAUAGACUUUACUCGGAGGGAAAAUUCUUACGGUGAGAAGCAUAAUGCGGCUCUCAAAUUGAGAACGCAACUUUGAGUCUCACCGUGAGUAGCAGAGAGGUGGUCUGGCGCUUUUGAAUCUCACUGAUAUAUCUCACAGUGAGGCCAAAAAGCGGUCUGCCUUCUCGUACUCACGGUUAGAACUCGUUCGCUUCGGUAUCGACUGAGCGCGAGCGUUUCGAUCUCCCUGUGAGAUCCAAAAGCGUCUGCUCGCCUCUGGUAUUCACGGUGAGAUUUGUUCUCUUAAAUUGAUGGCGAAACUUUAAGUCUAACCGUGUAUAACAAAAGCGAGACUGAACGCUUUUUUAAAUUUCGCGGUGAGAUCGAAACGUUCGCUGUCAGUCGAGACCGAAGCAAGCAAGCAUUUGGGUUCUAACCGGGCGGAUUAUGAGAAGGCCGCUCUUUGAUCUUACUCAUAGAUUGAAGCGAGGAUCUCAGUGAGAUCCAAAUGCGUCCGGCCGCCUCUGCUACUCACGGUGAGACUCAAAAGUUGCGUUCUCAAUUUGAGAGCCGCAUUUUGCUUCUCACCGUUAGAACUUUUCCCUCUGAGUUUUGUCUCUGUGGCAAAAUAUUAUGCUGCUUUACCUUAAAAUCGUUCAGUUUCUUUCUCUUCUCUUGUUAUUACACUGUUUGUUUUGUUUGCAUUAAAGUGUAUGAAGAAAGAGGUGGAUGGCAGUAGGCUUGGGUUGUAGCCCUACACACUAUGCUUUUUUGCCCGAUGCUGGCCAUGUGAUAAUGCCCUCGCGGGAACGCUUCUCAAAGCGCUCUCGCUGGGCCAAAAAUUUCAUCGGAACAAAUGGAAAGCUGAAGAUUUGAACUUUAGUAUAUAUUAUGUCGGAACAAAAAUGGAAAAUGGAUAGAUUUUAAGUAAUUAGCGAAUAAAUUUCAUGUUCUCUUUGACGAGAUGAUCCAGUAAGUUGACGUGGGCGAGCGCGCUCAAAGUGGGAGCGACCAAGCAACCAAUCAGCGCGCUCGCCGUCGUCAAGUGACUGGAUCUUCUCGCCGGAAAGAGCAUGAAAUGCAUUAGUUAAUUUCUCAAAAUUUAUUCAUUUUUCGAUUUUGGUUCUGAUAUUGUGUUCAAAAUCAUAUCUUCAGCUUUCCAUUGGUUCCAAUGAAUUUUUUGGCCCAGCGAGAGCGAUUUGAGAAGCGAUCCCGCGAGGGCAUUUAACAUGGCUAGCAUAGGGAUAAAAGCAGCGUAGGGCUACAGCCCAGCCCACUGCCUAUCGCGCUUCUUUAUUUAUAACUUAAGUUUGCAUGCCUAUCACGUUAUUGGCUAAACAAAAUCUCUGACUGAGCAACAAUUUAGUCUGUUUUGCUCUACGAUGUGUUCAGACUCUGACUUAAUGUUUAUCUGAAUUGAUUUAUGUACCAUGUGGAAACAAGGAAUUAAAAUCUUCAUCAAGUGUAGCAUAUAUAAUAUGUUUGUUUCAAUUACUGUCCCAUUUUUGUACCGCAACUAGCUCAAAUUCAAUUUAAAAUACGUAUAUAUAACCGCUAAUCGCAAAUUACCCUACGAGAAAAAUCACGUGUCUGACACGUGUAAAACCUGUGUUUUUGGGUACGGAUACAUCGUUACAAACAAGUGUUUAACACGUGUCAACACGUGAACUUGUGCGAAAAACACGUGUUUGGCACGAACUUAGUGACGUGUCAGACAGGUGACAAACACGUGUUUGUAACUUGUGUACACGCACCCAAAAUCACAGGUUUGACACAAGUCUGACUCGUGUUUUUUCUCGU